rnacentral:RNase_P_RNA from 1 species
GUACUCUGAAAGCUUACAGUUUUAUAAGUUUUUAUAAGUUUAUAGCACUGAUCAAAGUAACUGAAGAUGAAGUCUGAGACUAGGGCCAUAAGGUGACCCUAACAGAAUCCUCCCUGAGUUUUGGAGAGGUGAAUUUCCAGAAAAUGGAGCUUCACAGAAAGGCAGACUGGGCAGUGCAGAUAUCAUGGACACCACCCUUGCAGAGUGGCCUGGUGGAUGCCUCCUUAGCCAGAGCUUGGAACAGGCUCACGGCCAGUGAGUGAAGUGAAUUCAAAGGCUGAGGUGAAGUACCCUGCGCGGGGCCUCACAACUCAAUUCAGACUACUCUCCCUUGUCC